rnacentral:ncRNA from 1 species
AUCGCGGGGCUUGCACCAGGUGCCUGCCGCCCCGUUCAGGGCGUCGGGUUGAACGGGAAACCGGUGAGCGCGGGUCGGAUGUUCGACCCAGCGCGAUUCCGGUGCUGCCCCCGCAACGGUCAGCGAGGAGCGUGCCGCACGACAGGCCACUGGUUCCACCUCUGGAACUGGGAAGGCGCGGCAGGCCUCCGGACGGAAUCUCCUCCCGUCCGGCACUCGCGAGCCCGGAUACCGGCCCGGUGCAUGGAUGCUGGC